UACGUAGGGUCCGAGCGUUGUCCGGAAUUAUUGGGCGUAAAGGGCUCGUAGGCGGUCUGUCGCGUCGGAUGUGAAAACCCAGGGCUCAACCCUGGGCCUGCAUUCGAUACGGGCAGACUAGAGUUCGGUAGGGGAGACUGGAAUUCCUGGUGUAGCGGUGAAAUGCGCAGAUAUCAGGAGGAACACCGGUGGCGAAGGCGGGUCUCUGGGCCGACACUGACGCUGAGGCGCGAAAGCCAGGGGAGCGAACGGG
rnacentral:rRNA from 1 species